GACGAGCCGAGCGAACGUUGUUCGGAAUCACUGGGCUUAAAGGGCGCGUAGGCGGGUGCUCAAGUCCGUGGUGAAAUCCUCCGGCUCAACCGGAGAACUGCCUCGGAUACUGGGCGUCUCGAGUGUGGUAGGGGUAUGCGGAACUAUCGGUGGAGCGGUGAAAUGCGUUGAUAUCGAUAGGAACUCCGGUGGCGAAGGCGGCAUACUGGACCACCACUGACGCUGAUGCGCGAAAGCCAGGGGAGCAAACGGG
rnacentral:rRNA from 1 species